CCCUUCGGGGCGAAGAUAAGACGGAUUAGCGGCGGACGGGUGAGUAACACGUGAGUAACCUGCCUUUUACACAGGGAUAGCCUCGGGAAACCGGGAUUAAAACCUGAUGAAACUAUCAAAUCACAUGAUUAAGAAAGUUAAAACUCCGGUGGUAAAAAGAUGACUCGCGUCCCAUUAGCUAGUUGGUGAAGGUAACGGCCCACCAAGGCAACGAUGGGUAGCCGGCCUGAGAGGGUGAACGGCCACAUUGUAACUGAGAAACGGUCCAAACUCCUACGGGAGGCAGCAGGA
rnacentral:rRNA from 1 species